AACGCACAUUGCGCCCGCUAGUAUUCUGGCGGGCAUGCCUGUUCGAGCGUCAUUUCAACCAUCAAGCCCCAGGCUUGCGUUGGAGCCCUGCGGCCGCCGCAGCCUCCGAAAUACAGUGGCGGGCUCGCUAUCACACCGAGUGCAGUAGAAUACUCUUCGCUCAGGGCGUGUGGCGGGUGCUGGCCGUGAAACCCCCCCCUCCUCAAGGUUGACCUCGGAUCAGGUAGGAAUACCCGCUGAACUUAA
rnacentral:misc_RNA from 1 species